GGGCAUAUGGUGUAAUGGAUAGCAUUUUGGCCUUCUAAGCCGAAGAUACGGGUUCGAUUCCUGUUAUGCCCGCCA
rnacentral:tRNA from 1 species